AAAUCUGGUGGUCUCUUUGGCCAUCCGAGUUGUAAUUUAGAGAAGCGUCUUCCGCGCUGGACCGUGCACAAGUCUCCUGGAACGGAGCAUCAUAGAGGGUGAGAAUCCCGUCUUUGGCACGGACGCACCAGGGCUUUUGUGAUGCGCUCUCGAAGAGUCGAGUUGUUUGGGAAUGCAGCUCAAAAUGGGUGGUGAACUCCAUCUAAAGCUAAAUAUUGGCGAGAGACCGAUAGCGAACAAGUACCGUGAGGGAAAGAUGAAAAGCACUUUGGAAAGAGAGUGAAACAGUACGUGAAAUUGUUGAAAGGGAAACGCUUGAAGUCAGUCGCGUCGACCGAGACUCAGCCUUGCCUUGGCUCGGUGUAUUUCUCGGCCGACGGGUCAGCGUCAAUUUUGCUCCUUGGAUAAUGGSGAGAGGAAUGUGACACCCUUCGGGGUGUGUUAUAGCCUCUCGUCGCAUGCGAGGGGUGAGAUUGAGGAACUCAGCACGUGCCCUUGUGGCGUCGGGGCUUUGCCCACGAUGCGUGCUUAGGAUGUUGGCGUAAUGGCUUCAAACGACCCGUCUUGAAACACGGACCAAGGAGUCUAACAUGCCCGCGAGUGUUCGGGUGGAAAAACCCGUGCSCGCAAUGAAAGUGAAAGUUGGGACCUCUGUCGUGGAGGGCACCGACGCCCGGACCGGAGCUUCUGUGAUGGAUCCGCGGUAGAGCGUGCAUGUUAGGACCCGAAAGAUGGUGAACUAUGCCUGAAUAGGGUGAAGCCAGAAGAAACUCUGGUGGAGGCUCGUAGCGAUUCUGACGUGCAAWUCGAUCGUCAAUUUGGGUAU
rnacentral:rRNA from 1 species